UGAGACUUUAAGUCUCCUGAAGGAACGUUAAAGACGAUGACGUUGAUAGGCCGGGUGUGUAAGCGCAGCGAUGCGUUGAGCUAACCGGUACUAAUGAACCGUGAGGCUUAACCUUAC
rnacentral:rRNA from 2 species